GUCGGUAAGGAGACGUAGCUUUCCGUGGGGUGUACCACUGCAGUUGGUUCCCGGCGGGAGACGUAGGGGAUGGAAGCUUCCCGGCGCCAGGUGGCCGGUGGCCGAGGCCGAUCCCGGGGACGGGCCACUGCCGCCCCCUCAGGAAAUGGAGUCCAUCUCCGCGGCGCCGGAGGAGGGCGAGAGAAGGGGUCGGUGGGCGCGGUUCCUUCUGGCACCAGUCCCGGAGGAGUCGCGACCACGGCGGCUGCAGGGAGCAGGCACAGCCCCGCGGGAUCCCAAGCCCUGCAGACUACCGCAGCCAGCGAGCUAAUGUCUCAGAAAAAAUUUGAAGAAAUCAAGAAAGCUAACCAAGCUGCAGCCAGAAAACUUGUUGAAGAACAGUUUAGCUCUUCAUCUGAAGAAGGAGAUGAAGAUUUUGAAGGAAAACAGGGAAAAAUAGUUGCAAAUACGUUUAUAACAUACACUACUCAGACAGAUGGAGAUACACGUGAAUUAGAGCGAACAAAACAAUAUGUAAAUGAAGCUUUUCAAGCAGGGGCUAUGACAUGCCUAAUUUGUAUUGCUUCGGUGAAGAGAAACCAAGCAGUUUGGAGCUGUUCGGGAUGUUUCUGUAUAUUUCACAUGCCCUGUAUCCAGAAGUGGGCUAAAGACAGCCAGUUUCUUGUAUCUUCUGUGACUGAUGAUGAUUUUGGAAAGAGAGAUUGUCCCUGGCCUUGUCCAAAAUGUAGGUUUGAAUACAAACGAUCUGAAACACCUAGUAGGUACUAUUGCUAUUGUGGAAAAGUAGAAGAUCCACCUUUAGAUCCGUGGCUUGUGCCUCAUUCAUGUGGCCAAGUAUGUGAGCGUGAAUUUAAACCUCCUUGUGGCCAUAAAUGUUUACUCCUCUGUCAUCCCGGUCCCUGCCCUCCUUGUCCAAAGAUGGUCACAACUACUUGUUACUGUAAGAAAGCAAAACCUAUCCCUCGUAGGUGCAGUGCCAAGGAAUGGUCUUGUCAGCUGCCAUGUGGACAGAAGUUGCUUUGUGGGCAACAUAAGUGUGAAAAUCCUUGUCAUGCAGGAAGCUGUCAGCCUUGUCCAAGAGUUAGUAGACAAAAGUGUGUCUGUGGCAAAAAAGUAGCUGAAAGAAGUUGUGCAAGUCCACUAUGGCACUGUGAUCAAGUAUGUGGAAAAACACUGCCAUGUGGUAAUCACACAUGUGAGCAAGUUUGCCAUGUUGGUGCUUGUGGAGAAUGUCCUCGAUCUGGGAAAAGGUUCUGUCCAUGUCAGAAAUCAAAGUUUUCUUUGCCUUGUACAGAAGAUGUACCAACUUGUGGAGACAGUUGUGACAAAGUACUUGAAUGCGGAAUCCAUAGAUGUUCACAGCGUUGUCACCGAGGUCCCUGUGAAACAUGUAGACAAGAAGUGGAAAAGCAUUGUCGCUGUGGAAAGCAUACAAAACGAAUGCCUUGUCAUAAACCUUAUCUGUGUGAAACUAAGUGUGUUAAGAUGCGUGACUGUCAGAAGCAUCAAUGUAGAAGAAAGUGUUGCCCUGGAAACUGUCCACCUUGUGAUCAAAACUGUGGACGGACUUUAGGAUGUAGAAACCAUAAGUGUCCAUCUGUCUGUCACAGAGGCAGUUGCUAUCCCUGCCCAGAAACCGUAGAUGUGAAGUGUAAUUGUGGCAAUACAAAGGUGACAGUGCCCUGUGGCCGAGAACGUACCACGAGACCACCCAAGUGCAAGGAGCAAUGCAGUCGACCACCAACUUGUCAUCAUACAAGUCAAGAAAAACAUCGCUGUCACUUUGGUUCUUGUCCACCAUGUCAUCAACCUUGCCAAAAAGUUUUGGAGAAAUGUGGUCACUUGUGUCCUGCUCCGUGUCAUGAUCAAGCAUUAAUAAAGCAGACUGGCAGGCACCAGCCUACAGGCCCUUGGGAACAGCCUUCUGAGCCAGCAUUUAUUCAGACUGCAUUACCGUGUCCUCCAUGUCAAGUUCCUAUUCCUAUGGAAUGUCUUGGGAAACAUGAGGUGAGUCCACUACCAUGCCAUGCUGUAGGACCCUACUCUUGUAAAAGAGUCUGUGGAAGAAUCUUAGAUUGUGAGAAUCACACAUGUAUGAAAGAAUGCCACAAAGUAACCAAAACUGAUGGCUGCACUGGAAAAAACAAGGCUGGCCCAGAAUGCCUUCAUUGUGAGGAAGGGUGCUCCAAGUCACGGCCACUAGGUUGUCUUCACCCAUGUAUUUUGCGAUGUCACCCUGGAGAAUGUCCACCUUGUGUUCAGAUGCUUAGAAUAAAAUGUCACUGUAAGAUCACAAGCCUGUAUGUGGAAUGUAGAAAAAUAACCACAGCUGAUGUAAAUGAAAAGAACCUCCUCAGUUGUUGCAAAAAUCAGUGCCCUAAAGAGCUUCCUUGUGGUCAUAGAUGCAAAGAGAUGUGUCAUCCUGGUGAAUGUCCCUUUAAUUGCAACCAGAAGGUAAAACUUAGAUGUCCUUGUAAAAGAAUAAAAAAGGAAUUGCAGUGCAACAAAGUACGUGAAAAUCAGGUUUCAAUAGAAUGUGACACAACGUGCAAGGAAAUGAAGCGGAGAGCAUCUGAGAUAAAAGAAGCAGAAGCCAAAGCUGCUUUUGAAGAAGAAAAACGAAGACAACAGGCUGAACUAGAAGCUUUUGAAAACAGACUGAAG
rnacentral:sRNA from 1 species